rnacentral:sRNA from 1 species
GCCGAGCUGGGGGCGCAGAGCGCGGGAGGCGGCGGCGGCGCGGAGCCCAGGUGGCUCCGCUGCCGGAUGGGAGUGCCCCAGUGUGCUGGAUGAAGCUGGCGCAUGCACCAUGUCAUCAUGUGUCUCUAGCCAGCCCAGCAGCAACCGGGCCGCCCCCCAGGAUGAGCUGGGGGGCAGGGGCAGCAGCAGCAGCGAAAGCCAGAAGCCCUGUGAGGCCCUGCGGGGCCUCUCAUCCUUGAGCAUCCACCUGGGCAUGGAGUCCUUCAUUGUGGUCACCGAGUGUGAGCCGGGCUGUGCUGUGGACCUCGGCUUGGCGCGGGACCGGCCCCUGGAGGCCGAUGGCCAAGAGGUCCCCCUUGACACCUCCGGGUCCCAGGCCCGGCCCCACCUCUCCGGUCGCAAGCUGUCUCUGCAAGAGCGGUCCCAGGGUGGGCUGGCAGCCGGUGGCAGCCUGGACAUGAACGGACGCUGCAUCUGCCCGUCCCUGCCCUACUCACCCGUCAGCUCCCCGCAGUCCUCGCCUCGGCUGCCCCGGCGGCCGACAGUGGAGUCUCACCACGUCUCCAUCACGGGAUCUGAUCAAAGGCAUCGAGUACUUGCACUACCAGAAGAUCAUCCACCGUGACAUCAAACCUUCCAACCUCCUGGUCGGAGAAGAUGGGCACAUCAAGAUCGCUGACUUUGGUGUGAGCAAUGAAUUCAAGGGCAGUGACGCGCUCCUCUCCAACACCGUGGGCACGCCCGCCUUCAUGGCGCCCGAGUCGCUCUCCGAGACCCGCAAGAUCUUCUCUGGGAAGGUAAGCUUGGGC